rnacentral:rRNA from 1 species
CCUACGGGGGGCAGCAGUGGGGGAUAUUGCACAAUGGGGGAAACCCUGAUGCAGCGACGCCGCGUGGGUGAAGAAGCGCCUCGGCGCGUAAAGCCCUGUCAGCAGGGAAGAAAAUGACGGUACCCGAAGAAGAAGCCCCGGCUAACUACGUGCCAGCAGCCGCAGUAAUACGUAGGGGGCAAGCGUUAUCCGGAUUUACUGGGUGUAAAGGGGGCGCAGACGGCGAUGCAAGCCAGGAGUGAAAGCCCGGGGCCCAACCCCGGGACUGCUCUUGGAACUGCGUGGCUAGAGUGCAGGAGGGGCAG